UACGAAGGGGGCUAGCGUUGUUCGGAAUUACUGGGCGUAAAGCGUGCGCAGGCGGCUUCUCAAGUCAGGGGUGAAAGCCCAGAGCUCAACUCUGGAAUUGCCUUUGAGACUGAGUGGCUUGAGUACGAGAGAGGUGAGUGGAAUUCCCAGUGUAGAGGUGAAAUUCGUAGAUAUUGGGAAGAACACCGGUGGCGAAGGCGGCUCACUGGACCGUUGUUGACGCUGAGGUGCGAAAGCGUGGGGAGCAAACAGG
rnacentral:rRNA from 1 species